GGGCAUGUGGCUCAGGGGUUGAGUGCUUGCCUAGCAUGCAUGAGGCCCUGGGUUCCAACUCUAGCACCACCA
rnacentral:tRNA from 1 species